AUGGCGUUAGAUCAGCCCAAGCAGCUUGUCCCAUGUCUUCUCCUCCUAUUAACCAUGUCGUCCUGCUUGUCACAGGCGAAGGCGCAGCAGUGCAAAAGCCCCGAUUCCGACCAGUAUCGGAUGAGCAACUACACCAUGGAGGACGCCUAUUUGGCAUUUUAUCUGAUCAACAAAUCAUCCGGCCGAGUCUUCACCUUCAGCCGUAACCUCUCCGACUACACGGUUGAUACCAGCUUCCUCGGUAACCUGUCUGACUCCGAUGUGAACAACACCGUACUGCUGUCCACCUUCGAAUUCAGGAUACCUCCCUCGCGAGUUCGCCAGGACCAGCUGGGGUCGUUCAGCCUCACCAUCCUCUAUCAGCCGCCGCCGGACCAGAGCCGUAGUGGCCUCGCCUUCCUUAUCCUCCCUUACUCUCCGAAUAUAUCUCCCUUGUCGGUGGCACUGGUGGCUAGUGAUGUUGGCUCGCUCGACCUUUUGAAACCUACAUCUGGAAGUGCUCCCGUCUCCGGCAGCUCUGUCUCCGCCUCCGCCAGGAUUGGUGCGCUGGGUAACCUCACAGACGUUAGGACUAGGUACGGUAAUAGUGUCAUGGUUGUCGAUAUGAAUAUCGAUCAGGUGGGAGCUUCCAUCUCUAACUAUUCAGUGUGGAUCGACUACGAUCGUGUGGGGCGUAGCCUGUCGGUCUACGUGGACUUUGAAGGCAAGCCCAAGCCUGACAAAACCAUAGUUGAGAUGCAAAACAUCAGCAGCCUCGAUCCCACAUCCUUCUAUUUUGGCCUCCUCUCCACGACCGAGCAGCUGCUUCGCGCCGGGCAGAUCAAAUGGAGCGCAACGGUCGAGGACUUCUUUGUCUACCCGGACAAAGGCAGCUUCCUCACAAGGAAGGUAACCAUCAUGUCAUCCGUCCUCGGGUCCGUAGCUGCCGCCGCCGCGAUGGCCGCCGCCGUUGCGUGCUACUUGAACUCGAGGUACCGGCAGUGGCACAAGGACCUGGACCAGCUGGCCAAGUCUAUGGAGCGCCUCCCAGGGGUCCCAUUGAAGGUCGACUUCGCUGACAUCAACAAGGCCACCCGCAAAUUCCAUGAGGACAUGAAGCUCGGCCGAGGCGGUUUUGGUACUGUGUACAGGUGCACGCUCCCCGCCGCCGCUUCCAAGAUGGAGCGACCGAUGGACGUGGCCAUCAAGAGGUUUACGCGCGAUGUGCAGAACCACCGCUACGACGACUUCCUCGCCGAGGUCAGCAUCAUCAACCGGUUGCGUCACAAGAACAUCGUCCCCCUCAUCGGGUGGUCAUACAACAAAGGAGUACCGCUGCUUGUGUUCGAGUUCAUGACAAACGCCACUGGCUUGCACUACGUCCACCACGAGUACGAGCCCAUGGUGCUCCAUCGCGACAUCAAGGCGAGCAACAUCAUGUUGGACUCGAGCUUCCAGGCCCGCCUCGGCGACUUUGGCUUGGCAUGCACUGUCGCUGUCGAUAGGAACUCUGUCACCGGUGUGGGUGGUACCUGGGGCUACAUCGCGCCAGAGUACCCGGUUUGUCGCAAGGCGACACGGCAGACCGACAUCUACGCGCUUGGGGUGCUCAUCCUCGAGGUUGUCACAGGAUUGCGGGCAUUGGCUGAUCACGAGGUGGUGGAUGAUGACGACAUGCAUAUCACCGACAGGGUGUGGCGUCUUCACCGUGAGGGGAGGUUACCGGAGUGUGUGGAUGCCAUGUUGACCAAUGGUUCUACUCCAGACGACGAGGAUCAUCUAGAUACUAUUGGUGAUGUGGAACGCCUGCUCCUCCUGGGCCUGGCCUGCAGCAACCCAAAUCCGUCGGACAGACCAACCAUGCCCGAUGUGGUGCGCGUCAUCGCCAAGUCGGCACCGCCACCGCAGGUGCCUCCUCAAAAGCCUAGAUUUGUGUGUCCACCACGAGAAGAGGGACAUUCCACGGCCUCGGAUGAUGAUAGCGCGGGUACAUCAAUGGUGAGUGACCUCGACAAGAGUAUGACAAGCGCCACCAAAGGACAUGCGUCAUUUCAACUCCAACACUCUGUCUACAUCGCGACAAGCGGUGCCUCUGGUCCAUGA
rnacentral:rRNA from 1 species